CCUAUAAUCCACAAUAUAGUAAUUUGUGCACCAACUGUUCAAAGUCAGGUACUCCAAAAAAACUUUGAGCUACUCUUUUUCCAUAAAAUGUUAUAUUAAAUAAUUCUGUGAAAUAAGCCUGUAUUGUGUUUUCAACGUGAAUACAUUUUUUAUACCAGUGUUAGCAUGGGAGUAAAUAAAUAAUUUGUAAUCCACUGAUACAUGUGUUAUAAAAACUUACUUAGUAACACUGUUAAAACCAAUGUCCAAUAACAACCUGGG